ACUCAUUUAAACAAAAUAGUUGAAUACUCACAUUCACACAAGUUACCAUGUUAUCGUGUCAGCCCGAGGUAGAUCAAGUAAUUUAAGACCUUUCUGCCCUGAGUCUGAUAGAGUUUAUGUGGGACCGUCUUAAAAUAGCUGUGUGCUUUUGUGGGUUAGUUAGACCACGGGUCACCGCGCUUGCCCAGAUUACAUCAUACCUGGGAAGUCGUAACGGCCGCUUGUGGUCACGGGGCGAGGGGACAUACUGUGGCUUGGCAGUGGUCAGUCGGCCCAGGCGCAUAACUGGCUGGCGAAUAUUACUGGGGACUCGUGUGGGACAGGACGACAACAUUUGACGUGUUCCACUGCCACGGGCGAUCAAGUAUAAUAUCUAGAUCUGUGGGGCGAGAUUUACACUGUGAUUGGUCGGGCCUACGAGGCUCUCGAUAACGAACAAAGCCAUGUGUGAAAGUGAAAGUGUUUGUGUGUACAGAAUAUGACGGAGAUCUGAGCCGAGACAGUGUCGUGUCGUGCCAUGAAAGGUUACCAGCAAGCGGUGCCCUUUGUUCCUCCUCACUGACCUGACGUGCUCUGAGAACCCUCCCCUUGUAUCCUACGUACCCGGAGACAUCUCGGUCACAGUUAUCUAGACUGGUCUGAACAGACAGAGGGACGUCUAGAUGGUCAAAGCAACGACUGGGACCUGUGCUUAUGCUGUUUUGCGAGCCACUGACUGAUCCGGGUAAAAGUUAACUUUGAUGUCGAGAGUUGUUUACACGUCAGCCGAGAGCGGCGCUAGAGCGGGAGAGACGUCAGAGCUCCUUGUGUUUUCAUUGAGUCUUCUUGGGCUUUGUAAUUGUGUGGUGAGCAGUUGGUGAGGAUGAUGAUGAUGAUAAUCGCGCUGUCAACAGGGCCGGCCGUGUCUUCUCGCUGACUGAGAUAUUCUCAUGUACAAAAUAAAACUGCUGGACUGCCAAGUCACCGGACAGAUCUAUCCUUCGUCAACGCAGAGCAGUUAAUCGAACAAGCCAUGUGCACUUAUGACGUCAUGUGUAUGAAUACUUGGAGUGCAUGACGUCACGCUUUCCUCUCCAUAGGUGGAACGUUGAUCAUCGUAGUCUGUUGCCCCGGCUAAGAGCUACGUCACAGGGAGUGAUAUAUCGCCGGAAACAGAGACGGACGAAGGCUCGCUUUGGACAUUUUGCAGACGUUGCAAUUAUAACCGUUGUCGCACGUUGAAAAAAAAAA